UACAAUUUCUUUUGACAGUUUGCUUAGAUAUUGUAUUACAAAAAAGAAGCCGGCGGUAAUCGCGUUAUAUGGACCUUUCGCUACUGGUGGGUGCUCCUUGUCAAUGUUUCGUUUAUCAAAAUCAUAAUUAUCAUAAAAAACUUUUCAAAAAAGUUGUUUGUAGCAGAACGGUUUUAUAUUAGGAAUCGUACUUUAGCAUUACAUUGGCUUUUAAAUCUUCGAGCUAUUUCUUUACACACAGGGCCGUCUCUGACCUUCGUAAGGUCAAAUAUUAAUCUUUUCAUGUGUUCAACUAUUUAUACACAAAAUGUUAUCUUCGAACGACGAAGUUCAGCGCUCCUUUAUCUUAGAGAUAAUAUUUGUUAUGAGAGAGGGAAAUUCGUGCAAAUACCCACGUCGCGAACACACGUAAUAGUUGUUGGUUUGAAUACAAUAAUGUAAAUCACAUUGUACGACGAAAGGAGUACUUGCGUAGCAUCAUGAAUUUGGAAUUAAAAAAUUGCUAACCCUACAUGAAUGUUUACCCGCCCUGGCAGAAUGUUCAGCGUAGAGUCUAUCUCAUCUCAUCAGCCUACGACUGUCCACUGCUGAACAUAGGCCUCCCCUAGAGCGCGCCACGUUGCUCGGUCCUCUGCUCUCCUCAUCCAGCGUCCACCGGCGAUCCUGCAAAUGUCGUUGGAGCAGCGGCUCGGAAUUCGUCCUACGCUAUGCUUACCGAGACGCGGUCUCCACUCUAGGACUCGGCUGCUCCAGCGGCCAUCGGUCCUACAACAGAUAUGGCCAGCCCACUGCCACUUCAGCUGACUUAUUCUCCAAGUCUAUAAUAGUCUAUGAAUUAAAAAAGCUUAAUAGAAUUCAGAA